rnacentral:rRNA from 1 species
UCCUACGGGGGGCAGCAGUGGGGAAUAUUGCACAAUGGGCGCAAGCCUGAUGCAGCGACGCCGCGUGAGGGAUGACGGCCUUCGGGUUGUAAGCCUCUGUUAGCAGGGAAGAAGAGAGAUUGACGGUACCUGCAGAGAAAGCGCCGGCUAACUACGUGCCAGCAGCCGCGGUAAUACGUAGGGCGCGAGCGUUGUCCGGAAUUAUUGGGCGUAAAGAGCUUGUAGGCGGUUUGUCGCGUCUGCUGUGAAAGGCCGGGGCUUAACCCCGUGUAUUGCAGUGGGUACGGGCAGACUAGAGUGCAGUA